UGGCGCCGCCUGCCGGACGUGCGCUUGUAUUUUCCUCGCGCAGGUCUUCCUUUCCUCUCCUCUUUCCUCCCCACACGUGCUUCUCCGAUAUACUUAUUUUAGUUUACGUGAGCGGGACGUAUGGUACACGUACACUGCACACCGAUACGUUAUUAUUAAUGUAUAUAUAGCGCGAAAAAGCCUCGCACGACAUCGUUGAUGCGCUCUAUGCACACGCGAGGUGAGCGUGUAUUCGGCGGGAGCCGGCGAGACUGCAGUCAGCGACGGAAUUAGGCGGAGAGCACAAAAAUAUUUUCACCGCUGCAUGCGAUUGUUGGGGGAAGGAGAGUGUGCUGAAUCCCGAUUAUCGAGCUGACGAGGGCUGAUCCUCAGAGAGUCUCAGCGUUACCAAGAGAAAAAAGUCAAAUUGCGAUAAACGAUAUCAUUAAACGGUCAUCGCUUCAAAUUGUUCAUUGAGGAGACACGCUGUCGCACACUGCUGAUGGCGCAUCCAUCAUCGUUUCCGAAAACGUUGCGUAACGUCCGUUUGCGUACAAGCUGCAUUUUUCGUCUUGUCGCUAACACACACACACACACACAGACACAGCAUGGAAGUACAAGCGAGUGCAGGCGAAGGUCGACAAUGUACAACGAAAUAGGCAGUGGAAGAAGUAUAGAAGAAAAAGGAGCGAACGAUGAUGGGGGAUAUUCAAUGGGACGACGCUCUUUGCACACGCAUCACAAUCGAGAGGACGAAAACGGCAAAAAGCGACUCGGCGCAUAAAGCCAAUACUUAUAAAGCAGCCGUGAUUUCGCAUUGCGACAACGUUUCGGGGAAGCAUUCGCUUCGGCGUUAAUAAAAAUAACUACGGGAAGGUGUGUUCUCGUUUUCGCCGAGUAUAUACGAGUGUUGUGCAUGGAGAAAAAACGCCACACCAACACGCCGGCAUAAUCGUCCGUCAUUAGUCUAUCCCAUUUACAUAGGCUUUUUGCCUCUGAACUAUAUAUACUCCGUAGAGUCUGUGCGCUUACACGCACAUAAUCGGUAAGCGAAUGUGUACUUUAUCGCGCUCAUCUCUCGUAAUGGUCAGAAUUACUCUUCUGCUUCCAUUGUGCAACGAGAGACAAUUAGGCACUUCCACUACUGAUAGCGCAUAUUCUUUGACGAUAUAUAUGUAUCGGUGAUAUAGCAGUGCCGUCACCUUGACGAUCUAGUUUCCUCUAGAUUGAUACACAGCCCGUUGCAUGGGACUAAUGAGACAAAAGUAGCCGAUUUUCUUACACCAGAGCAAGAGAGACAAGAGUAUAAUGGUCUUGUUAUUUCGCGCAACCUCCGAGUGCCCGUGUAAGUACUGCGCGCCAGAUGUGGAGCGAAGCAAUCCUCGUAUUGUAAACAGUGUGUGCGAGGGAGUCGGUAUAUAAACUGAUUGAUCGGCUGAAAGAAUGUUGAGAAUUAAUCGCGAGUGUCUGUAGAAUAUUUACGUUUACACGGACAGGUGGAAUAUGUACCUGCGACUGGUGAAUGGCUUAUCGUCGCUUUUCUCAAGUUGUGUAUCGGAUGUGCUCGAUCGAUGCGAAGGAUUACCGCAGGAAAUUCUUUUUUCUCGCGUUUUACGUCACAAGCGUUACAAAUUCUUGCACAGCGCAAAGCCCCUUUCUCAUCGUUCGGCUCUAAUCCUUACUAAAGCUCUUCUCUCCUAUCUACUGCGAGAAUAAGACACUCGGGAUUACAUACGACAGCUCACUAAUAUCUAAUCUGACGAUUCGCAACUAUGAUGAAGGCACGCAAAAACGUUCAUAAGCCUAUGUUUGCAGAGCUCGACGUUGUACAAUAUGCCGUCCACCUGCUGUUCACGCGGUAAAUUUCUUUGUGCGAAUAUGCGAGGAUCGAUCGCGAGACGUGCAAUUACGCCGUGACUUUCUCUCCGCACCGCAAUGCGCUAUGCGUCUAAUGUCUCUAUAGUCUAUAUGCAGACUUGUACGGCUGUACGGUAAUUCCGAGAAAGGAUGCGGACUCGAGCUGAAUAAUAAAUUACGAGUUUCUGCGCGCUUCCGAUUCGGCUUUUGUUUAUUUCAGGGUAUAUGUAAGAAGGGACAUCACGUCGAUUGUGUGUAAUUUUUUUCUUACUUUCCUCAAUGCAGCUUUUACACUGAAUGUCGGGUAUUUUGCGCAAAGUGUACUGUUAUACAUCGAGCCGUACACGCGGAUGACGAGUCUGCAGCGUUGAAUCUACCGAGUGUGGAGCUACAUAAUAGUAUUCAAAUUAUUCAAAUGGAAUUCGCUGGUACAUUACGCACGAGCGAUGCGGAAGUCGUGAUUUUUAUUCUUCGUACAUACAUCGAGAGCCCAGUAGCUUCUGUCUCUGUAUAGCAUAAUAAACAAGAAGAUCGCGGGCAUUUCUUCGAGCGAAGUAUGUCGCUGGUGCUUCUCCUCCUGCUCUGCUACCUGUCAACGCUUUUAUCGGCUCCUGCGACGUCUUCAAAAACGAGCGACACCGGGAGACUGGCGCGUUUGCUGGAAUACGCGGGUCCACUGUAUUCCGGAGCUUUUUCUAUGGUCACGAGCUUCAGCUGUAGCGACGUCGAUGGUAGAUUCGAGCUGCUGAGAGAUCUGUCCAGAAUUCAAGUCGGGAGCAACGUUCUCGACUUGGAGAAGAGCGUCGACAGGCUUUCCGAGAUUGCAUGGGAAAAAGGCUACGCAGGUCAAAAUGAGAUACCCUCAGACGCUCACCGCGUCCUGUUCACCCUUGACCUGGACUGUCCGAAGAUCGACGAUUUCAUCCGCAAAGCUGAUCGCGAAUACAUGUUCGCAGCGCCCUUCAAGUGGCUCCUGACUCAAAGAUCAAACGAUACUGAUGACCUGGUCUCGAGGUUCGCUGAGGUCGGAGCUUACCCUGACAGCGAGGUGACCGUUUGGCAGAAAGAGACCGGACAGCUGCUGUCCAUUUAUCGCACCAAUGGGAACAACGAUCAUUUGAUCGAAGAUAGAGGGAGUUGGAUGGAAGAGGACAGGAGGAUGCUGGUCGGUGAUACCAAUGUGACGUCCAGGAGGAGGAAGAAUCUUGGCGGAAUAGGGCUCAAGUCGUGCCUUGUGAUCACCGACCCGAAUACUAUCCAUCACCUCGACGACUAUCACGACAAGCACAUUGACACGAUCACCAAGUGCAACUACCCCUGGGUCUUGAUUCUGAUGAACAUGCUCAAUGCCACGGUCACAUUCGAGCCCGUAGGCAGCUGGGGCUACAAAGGCCCGAACGGCUCCUGGGACGGGAUGAUCGGUAUGCUGCAACGCGGCGAAAUCGACUUCGGCGGUACCGGCUGCUUCCUUACACCCGAGCGCAUGGGCGCCAUCCAGUACAUCUCACUUCCAACGCCAACCAGAAACCGCUUCAUCUUCCGAAGACCACCGCUAUCGUCCGUCUCGAAUCUGUUCAAGCUGCCCUUUGGCAACUCGGUCUGGUUCGGUAGCUGCGCUCUCGUGAUUAUUCUGAUUACCAUGCUGUAUCCGGCGAUGAAACACGAGUGGAUGCAGUUCAACGAGGUGGAAAAGGCUCGCGAACCCAUACCGCCGAACCUCAGCGACGAUCUCCUCGUCAUCGUUGGAGCUGUAUCUCAGCAAGGUUCCUGGUACGAGCCUCGAUCGGUGUCCACGAGGAUAAUCGUCCUGUUUGGUCUGCUCGCCGCCUUGAAUCUCUACGCGGCCUACACCGCCAACAUCGUCGCUCUUCUUCAGUCAACCACGGGGUCGAUCAAGACUCUGCAGGACCUUCUGGACAGUCCUCUGAUGCUGGCAGCCCACGACAACGUCUACAACCGGUACUACUUCAAGUCCUUCAAGGAUCCCAUACGUCGGACUAUCUUCGAGGAGAGAAUCGAGCCGAGGACGUCGAAGAAGACCAACUGGCUAACGAUCGAGGACGGGAUCGAGAAGCUCAGAGGAGGAUACUUUGCGUUUCACGUCGAGCUCGGCCCCGCUUACAAGCUGAUACAGGAGAGGUACGAAGAGGACGAGAAGUGCGGAUUCCAGGAGAUCGACUAUCUGAACGUCUUCUACGCGCACUUGGUCGUUAGGAGGAGGUCACCUUACUUGGAAUUGCUCAGAGUCGGGUGAGUUUCAGCGACUGUUUAUACACGCAAUAAAGGAUAAGAGAGACGACGAAUGAUUCUGCACAAUUGCGACUAUAAUAAACAAAGUCCACACGCGUUGCACAACCCGAGUCGAAACUCACUCGUGAAUUAUCUCGGCUGCAUCGAAAAAUCCUGCGCCUGUAAAUACAACGCGUGUGACUCAGCGCACGCACUAAAAAACAACGAUCCUCGCUAUUCCACGUCCGAAAAAAAAUGAAGAAAGCGAGCACGCACGCAUUCGCGAUGAGAGUUCGUUGCCCUGACCCAGUAAUCCCAAGGAAGCAAAACACUGCGUGCUGUGUAUCUCCAUCGUAUCAACAAGCUGUAUAGGGCUAUGAGGCUGUACGAGACAGGCAUGAGGACGAAAGAUAUAAAUAGGCUGUACACAAGGAAGCCGGAAUGCGGUGGCUCAUCGUCCAGAAGAUUCCUGAGCGUCGGUCUGGCCGAAUGUUACGGAGCCUUCUCGACUCUCGGAUACGGUCUGGCGCUGGCCCUGGGGGUGCUUAUCGCGGAAGUCGUUAGCACCAAGUUAAAAGUCCGCUGCAAGUCAUCCCAGCUCAGCAGUACGAAUUAUUAGUAACUCAUCGGUAAUGGAAUGCGGUUCACGCCUCCACGAGCUCACCUAUACACAUCUCGUGAACGAUAAGAUAAGCGGUAUGUCUGCACGUGCUGUUCAGCGUCUCCUCACGCUUAGUCAACAAAGCCGCUCGUGAUGCGAGCCCCCGAGCAAUUAUACCCUCGACUCGUAGACGAUGAUUAUUCAUUUUAGUGAAAGACCGAUAUUUAUAAUACGUAUUACGCACUAGGAUUUCGUCGCCAGCGAUCAAUAAAUCAGAGCCUAUAAAUAUCGUU